rnacentral:rRNA from 1 species
UACGUAGGGUGCAAGCGUUAAUCGGAAUUAUUGGGCGUAAAGGGUGCGUAGGCGGUUUGGUAAGUCUGAUGUGAAAUCUAUGGGCUCAACUCAUAGUCUGCAUCGGAAACUGCCGGGCUUGAGUGUGGGAGAGGUGAGUGGAAUUCCUGGUGUAGCGGUGAAAUGCGUAGAUAUCAGGAGGAACACCUGUGGCGAAAGCGGCUCACUGGACCAUAACUGACGCUGAUGCACGAAAGCUAGGGGAGCAAACAGG